UACGGAAGGCAGCAGUGGGGAAUAUUGCACAAUGGGCGCAAGCCUGAUGCAGCCAUGCCGCAUGUAUGAAGAAGGCCUUCGGGUUGUAAAGUACUUUCAGUCGUGAGGAAGGUGUUAAGGUUAAUAACCUUAGCAAUUGACGUUAGCGACAGAAGAAGCACCGGCUAACUCCGUGCCAGCAGCCGCGGUAAUACGGAGGGUGCGAGCGUUAAUCGGAAUUACUGGGCGUAAAGGGCACGCAGGCGGUUAAUUAAGUUGGAUGUGAAAUCCCCGGGCUUAACCUGGGAAUGGCAUUCAAGACUGGUUAGCUAGAGUCUUGUAGAGGGGGUAGAAUUCCAUGUGUAGCGGUGAAAUGCGUAGAGAUGUGGAGGAAUACCGGGUGGCGAAGGCGGCCCCUGGGACAAGACUGACGCUCAUGUGCGAAAGCGUGGGGAGCAAACGAGGGAUUAGGAUACC
rnacentral:rRNA from 1 species